AGCUUUGCACAGUGGCAGUAUUGUAGCCAAUGAGGUUUAUCUGAGGCGCAAUUAUUGCUAACUGAAAUACUAGUUGCAAGCUAAAAAGAAGGCAGUCUGCUCUUCUCAUUAUGCUUUCACAAUUUUUAACAAGUUAACUGAGUAAC
ensembl:snRNA U4 U4 spliceosomal RNA